AAAACAUAAACUUUACUAUCAGACACUGUAGAGACUAGCUCUACAGUGUCUGAUAGUAAAGUUUAUGUU
rnacentral:pre_miRNA from 1 species